CUUCGAUCACACCUCAGUUGAGCGAAUCACCUCGCCUUACCAUCAACGUUGCCGUCGACUGUUCUCGCCUCUCCACCGUCAGCACUGCUGUCCCUUUUUGCUAUUUGUGAUUCGUCUUUGCCUCGCCACUGUCAUCUAGGGCCCUCACCAACUUGAUUUUUUGGAGCAUCUUCAACUCUCCCUAAAAACAAUUUGAGGUGCAUCUUCAUCAAGGUGUGUGCAAGGACCAACAAAUGGAAAAUCAACAGAAAAAAGAAUUGCCAACAAUAAUGGAAACAAGCUCUACAUUCCAAUCACCGAGACAUUCAAUGCAUUGGAAGGUGUGCUAGCGACCCCAGAAUCUAAUGAGAUUAGCAUUCACGUUAGGAGAAUGUGCCCCAUUCAAGGCGUUAGCAGUUGGACUAUUGCUGAUCUAGCGACAAAAGGGGCUGUUAUACAAGCUGUCCGGGUAUGAUUUAAUUUCAGUCAUGGUCUAUGUGGAUUAUGGAAAAAGUGCUCUUUUCAUGUGCAUAUAGGAUGGAUGGUUAGGAACUUUUUUUUUUUCUUUUUAAGUGCUAAUUGCUGGUUAUGAAAGCUUCAAAAAGUCUAAUUACAUAAUGAGUAUGCAAAGUCUUAAAAAGAUGGAAUGCUCUGUGAACUCUCGAAAACCUUUUAAGGUUUUCUUACUGUACCUAAAUAUUUUCAGCUUUCACAUGUGCAGUGAUAUUACUUAUUUGGUUUGUAUUGAUUAUAUGAUAAAUUUGAAAUUGGGGAUGAUUAUGAGGACAAUUCACUAUCUCAGCAAGUUAUGGAAAGGAAUUAUUAUGUGUUACAUAAAGAUUGGAAGUGCAAAAUGAAGAAGAAAUGGAAGAAGCUUGUGAAUGCAGGAAUUGACCCUUAUGCUCAUCCAUAUAAAGGAAUGAGCCUAGAUGAUUGGAAGUAUUUGAUUGAACAUGUAUGAUUGGAUCCCAAACAAGGUAUGUUAUGAUUUAGUUAUAAGAUAGUAAUAUGUUAUUAACAAGUAAUUGAAAUCUUAUGGAAUGAAGGAUCAAUUUAUGUACCUAUAAACAACUCUAGUCCCCUUGUAUGUCUAACUACUUUUAAUAUUACUUAGUACUCUUAUCAAUAGUAGCUAUAUAUGUAACAAACCCUUAUAAUAUGGAUUAUGUAGCGUCGUUACGACACUGACAAACUUAACAGGAGCAAGCUACCCUACAAUCACACUAGUGGGUCUCAAUCUUUUCCAACGACGAUGAGCAUUGCGGUGAGACGUAUUUCAUUGAUUUAGUUAACUUUAUCCACACUUAUUUCAUAUGUUGUCACAAUAAUGAAGGAGUGUUGAUCUUGGUGUUUGGCAUUUCACAAGUAAAUGAAAAUGGUGGACUGUUGCUAGAUAUCUGUGAUUUCUUCAAGGACACUCAUUAGAACAAGAAAACAAAAGAGUGGAUUGAUCCUAUAUGUCAUGAUUUACAUGCAAGUAUUCCAAUCAUUUGGACUCUUAUAGUGACUAUUGUGUUUGAUUUAUAUUAACAAUAUUUAUAUUUUACAAUUACAGGAGCAUAUAAUAACAAUGCGGGAUAAGUCUAUCGAGUUUGGAACGC